UACAGAGGUCCCAAGCGUUGUUCGGAUUCACUGGGCGGUAAAGGGUGCGUAGGCGGUCGGGUAAGUCUGAUGUGAAAUCUCACAGCUUAACUGUGAAACUGCAUUGGAUACUAUCCGGCUCGAGGAAUGGAGGGGAGACUGGAAUACUUGGUGUAGCAGUGAAAUGCGUAGAUAUCAAGUGGAACACCAGUGGCGAAGGCGAGUCUCUGGACAUUUCCUGACGCUGAGGCACGAAAGCCAGGGGAGCAAACGGG
rnacentral:rRNA from 1 species